UGAUGACAAUUCUCCGGAAUCUCUGUACUUCCUUGAUGAUCCACUUUGAACCCUUUUUGCUGAUGACUGUAUUUGACUCGUG
ensembl:snoRNA SNORD68 small nucleolar RNA, C/D box 68